GAUAUGACAAGAUGUGUCACAUGGUACAAAUCACAAUUGCCUGGAACAAGUACUGAAACGGAUAUUAAAUGGACAAUAAAGGUCCGAUCGGUAGCAGAAUGCGCUCAUCACUGUACCGUUCAUACCAACUGCAGAUCCAUCCAAUAUGACAAUUCAACAACAAAUUGCACAAUACUCUACGUAUCGAAUCUAACAAGUCAAUAUGUAAGCAGUAUUCAAAUGUCUCAUUACAGCAAAACAUUAGUCUUAAAUUGUCCAAACGGAUACGAUCAUCUGCAGGAAAGUAACACAUGCGUAAAGUUAUAUCCUAACUAUCUUACAUGGAAUGACAGCUUCACCGCAUGCAAAAAUGACGAUGCAGAUUUACCUGUACUAGAUUCAAACAUUCUAUUUGAUGAAUUUCAAGACUACAUGGAUUUGCGGUCGUCUGGUAGAGUUGCAGUUAAUGCUAAACUAUCUAACAAUGUACCAUACUGGGAGACUGGUGGAGAAGUUAAUGCUUCAAAGUUCUGCGAGUACACUCCAGAUAUGCUAAACACAUCAGACGUAUGUUUGUUUUUGGCCCAUAAAUCAGAAUCAUGGUGCAAUUCGUCUAUUUACAGACUUGAUGAUGCUUUGUGCCAGGAAUAUGCAUUAAGGAUUUGUAUGGUGAAAUUAUAAGAAAAUAAUUCAGUGGAUUGUCCUUCUUAAAUCCAAUCAUAUCGAUAGAAAUGAAUACAAUUCCCUGUUUACCCAAAUAUCAUGAUACUGAAGCAAUUUAAAACAUUGAUUUAAACUCAAAUUUUAUUUUAUAUAGUAAAUUUUCUAGUAUCUUGCUGACACGCCAUUAGAACAAUGAAAGUAUAUAUAUGGGUAUUUAAAACAUGCAUGAUGUUUUCAAACAGUUGCAAAUACCUGUCGUAAAAAGUCAUAAAAAGAUUCUAGGAUUAUAAUUUUGUACGCCGGACGCGCUAUUUUUUAAUAUACGAUUGAUCAAUAGCGCUAGAAUUAAAACAAUUGAAAGGCAAAAAGAGGGGUGCAAUAUACCACAGGGUUAUACUUAUAAUUGCAACGAAUAGCGUUCGCAUAUAUUGAUGGAAUAUCGAGGAUACUCGAUUACAUGUAUAUGAGUACAAUGUACGAUAACGAAAUGUUUUAAGGAGAGUUAACACUUUCGAAAAUAACAUGUAUAUCUAACAGAGCAGCCUGCUACUAUCAAACUUUUUUUUAUACCAAAGAAGGUUAUUUUAUAAAUUUUGACUUGGAUGGAGAGUUGUCUCAUUGGUACUCAUACCACAUCUUCUUAUAUCUAUAUAGGGUGUUAAUGCAUAUUUUAUGAGAGACAAAUUUGGACUUGACAAUGCCUUAACGCUUUUCGCGACCAACUGACACAUAUCCGACAAACCAUAUUUACGUUAAUAUUUCAUAUGAUCUUAUCAAUUGCCAUCAAGAUAAGUAUUAUUAUGUCCUUUGUGUUCAUUACUAUGAAAAAAAAUUUAAUAAACUUUAUUUCAAACA